AUAUCAUGAUCCACAGUGUCAUAAUGACCUUGCUGCCUGCAAGAGACACAAAUGUUAACAAUUCAGUGACAAAUUCGGUGGCACAAUUUCAAAGAAGUCAUUUACAUUUAAAGGUAGUAAUAAACGAAUUUUUCAAGGGUUUUUAAAAAGUCAUCAAGAGGUUCUUUCUUCUUUUUUUUUUUUUUAAACUUAUGCUAUUGGGUUUAAUAAAGAUUCCAGCUGCAAUUUCAAAGCAUACCUUAAAAAACAUAAAACACCUUUCACGUGG